rnacentral:rRNA from 1 species
UACGUAGGGUGCAAGCGUUAUCCGGAAUUAUUGGGCGUAAAGAGCUCGUAGGCGGUUUGUCGCGUCUGCUGUGAAAACUGGAGGCUCAACCUCCAGCCUGCAGUGGGUACGGGCAAACUAGAGUGCGGUAGGGGAGAUUGGAAUUCCUGGUGUAGCGGUGGAAUGCGCAGAUAUCAGGAGGAACACCGAUGGCGAAGGCAGGUCUCUGGGCCACUACUGACGCUGAGAAGCGAAAGCAUGGGGAGCGAACAGG